UACGUAGGGGGCUAGCGUUGUCCGGAAUCAUUGGGAGUAAAGAGCGUGUAGGCGGUCCGGUAAGUCCGCUGUGAAAGUCGGGGGCUCAACCCUCGAAUGCCGGUGGAUACUGUCGGGCUAGAGUGCGGAAGAGGCGAGUGGAAUUCCUGGUGUAGCGGUGAAAUGCGCAGAUAUCGGGAGGAACACCAGUAGCGAAGGCGGCUCGCUGGGCCAUUCCUGACGCUGAGACGCGAAAGCUAGGGGAGCGAACAGG
rnacentral:rRNA from 1 species